CCUACGGGCGGCAGCAGUGGGGAAUAUUGCACAAUGGGCGAAAGCCUGAUGCAGCAACGCCGCGUGAAGGAAGAAGGGUUUCGGCUCGUAAACUUCUAUCAACAGGGACGAAAGAAAUGACGGUACCUGAAUAAGAAGCCCCGGCUAACUACGUGCCAGCAGCCGCGGUAAUACGUAGGGGGCAAGCGAUAUCCGGAAUUACUUGGUGUAAAGGGUGAGUAGGCGGCAUGGUAAGCCAGAUGUGAAAGCCUUGGGCUUAACCCGAGGAUUGCAUUUGGAACUAUCAAGCUAGAGUACAGGAGAGGAAAGCGGAAUUCCUAGUGUAGCGGUGAAAUGCGUAGAUAUUAGGAAGAACACCGGUGGCGAAGGCGGCCUGCUGGACUGUGACUGACGUUGAGGCCCGAAGGCGUGGGGAGCAAACAGGAUUAGAUACCCGUGUAGUC
rnacentral:rRNA from 1 species